rnacentral:rRNA from 1 species
CCUACGGGGGGCAGCAGUGAGGAAUAUUGGUCAAUGGGCGGGAGCCUGAACCAGCCAAGCCGCGUGAAGGAAGAAGGCGCCAAGCGUCGUAAACCUCUUUUGUCAGGGAACAAAGACUGGGACGCGUCCCCGGAUGAGUGUACCUGAAGAAAAAGCAUCGGCUAACUCCGUGCCAGCAGCCGCGGUAAUACGGAGGAUGCGAGCGUUAUCCGGAUUUAUUGGGUUUAAAGGGUGCGCAGGCGGUCUGUUAAGUCAGCGGUCAAAGCCCGGGGCUCAACCCCGGCCCGCCGUUGAAACUGGCAGUCUCGAGUUGGAGAGAAGUAUGCGGAAUGCGCGGUGUAGCGGUGAAAUGCAUAGAUAUCGCGCAGAACUCCGAUUGCGAAGGCAGCAUGCCGGCUCCACACUGACGCUGAGGCACGAAAGCGUGGGUAUCGAACAGGAUUAGAUACCCUGGUAGUC